UACGAAGGGUGCAAGCGUUACUCGGAAUUACUGGGCGUAAAGCGUGCGUAGGUGGCUUGUUAAGUCUGCUGUGAAAGCCCCGGGCUCAACCUGGGAAUGGCAGUGGAUACUGGCAAGCUAGAGUGCGGUAGAGGGGUGUGGAAUUCCCGGUGUAGCGGUGAAAUGCGUAGAGAUCGUGAGGAACACCAGUGGCGAAGGCGGCACCCUGGACCAGCACUGACACUGAGGCACGAAAGCGUGGGGAGCAAACAGG
rnacentral:rRNA from 1 species